AAAUUGAGGAAAUCUUUCAAAGAGAUGACUGAAAGAGAGAAAAAAAAAAAAACUUUGAACUAAUUAAGAUCAUAUGCUUCGAUUCUGUAUUUGUUUUCACCACACUUUGUUUCUCUAGAUAUAUAUAUAGAUCAGACAUUGAUGAGUCUAAUUCAUUAUUUGAAUGGCAGGAAAUGAUGAGAUUGAGGAAAUCUUUCAAAGAGAUGACUGAAACUACGAAAGACCUGCAGGAUUAUCUCAUGGGAAAGGCUUAUCUACCGGGGAUGGAAUUGAAUGAGUUUUUUCUGACCAAGGCCCCGGAUACUUCAUCCUCCAAGUAGGAGGAGGAGGAGGAGGAGGAAGAAGAGGACGAC